rnacentral:rRNA from 1 species
CCUACGGGGAGCAGCAGUGGGGGAUAUUGCACAAUGGGGGAAACCCUGAUGCAGCGACGCCGCGUGGGUGAAGAAGUAUUUCGGUAUGUAAAGCCCUAUCAGCAGGGAAGAAAGAAGACGGUACCUGACUAAGAAGCCCCGGCUAACUACGUGCCAGCAGCCGCGGUAAUACGUAGGGGGCGAGCGUUAUCCGGAUUCACUGGGUGUAAAGGGAGCGUAGACGGCCGUGCAAGCCAGGAGUGAAAGCCCGGGGCCCAACCCCGGGACUGCUCUUGGAACUGUGCGGCUGGAGUGCGGGAGGGGCAGGCGGAAUUCCUGGUGUAGCGGUGAAAUGCGUAGAUAUCAGGAGGAACAUCAGUGGCGAAGGCGACUAUCUGGCACAUAACUGACGCUGAGGAGCGAAAGCGUGGGUAGCAAACAGGAUUAGAUACCCCUGUAGUC